CCAGUGUUGGUUGUUGUCCUUUUUUUGUUGUUGCACUUUUAUACGUUCAUGGUGUUUGAACUGCUAUAAUUUAUUAUUGCAGUAGUUCGUCAGGAGUUGUUGCAAUAUCAUGGUUAUGGUGUUUUAGCGUCUUCAUCCUUAUGUUGCAUCGUACAGGGGGGAGGGGGAAGGGGAGCUGUGGUGUCGACUUGGCAGUAGGUGGAUGUGAUUGGGGCCAGCA
rnacentral:lncRNA from 1 species